AUGAUGCCCUCAUCGUUGCCACAUUUACGCAAGUGCGGCGUUGGCUACUUAAUUGACUUUCUUCUCCUUAGUAUUACACGAUGCAUUGCUUCUUGUAUAAACAAUGCACGAACAACUGACUCAUGUUUAUGGUUCUGUAGCAAUGCACGAACAGCUGAAUCAUGUUUAUGGUUCUGUAGCAAUGCAUCAUUGUCCUUAGGAUCCAGCUCUGGUGAAUUGUCCGUUCUGAAACAGAGAUCAGGCAUCGGUAUAUCACGAUGUGAUCAAGAGCAAGAAGAACAUGUUUGUCAAGACCAAGUCAGUGAACCUCGUGUUGGAAAUAUGCCCUACAUGCAAUAA
rnacentral:rRNA from 1 species